AACUUUCGGCAAUUGAUCACGUGGCUCUCGCAUCGAUGAAGAACGCAGCGAAAUGCGAUAAGUAUUGUGAAUUGCAGAAUUCAGUGAAUCAUCGAAUCUUUGAACGCAUCUUGCGCUCCUUGGUAUUCCGAGGAGCAUGCCUGUUUGAGUGUCAUUCAACUUCUCAACCACAUCAUAUGUGGCUUUGACGUGGGGGUAGUUUGCAGGCUUUUUGGUCUACAGAAGGUCGGCUCCCCUGAAACAUAUUAGUGGUAUCUGGGCUGCUGCUGUAGGUGUGAUAAAUUAUCUAUGCCUUUGGUAAGCUGCAUGAACAGAUUGCGCUGCUUAUAACAAAAAGAUUGAAUCUGAUGAAUUUGACCUCAAAUCAGGUAGGACUACCCGCUGAACUUAAGCAUACAAUAAGCGGAGGC
rnacentral:misc_RNA from 1 species